GGGAUUACCUCAGUAACGGCGAGUGAAGCGGUAACAGCUCAAAUUUGAAAUCUGGCAGCAAUGUCCGAGUUGUAAUUUGUAGAGGAUGUUUCGAGCAUGGUCUGGCCUAAGUUCCUUGGAACAGGACGUCAUAGAGGGUGAGAAUCCCGUAUGCGGUCAGGUGCCUACGCUCAUGUGAAACUCCUUCGACGAGUCGAGUUGUUUGGGAAUGCAGCUCAAAAUGGGUGGUAAAUUUCAUCUAAAGCUAAAUAUUGGCCAGAGACCGAUAGCGCACAAGUAGAGUGAUCGAAAGAUGAAAAGCACUUUGGAAAGAGAGUUAAACAGUACGUGAAAUUGUUGAAAGGGAAGCGCUUGCAACCAGACUUGCACGCAGCUGAUCAUCCGCUGUUCUCAGUGGUGCACUCGGUUGCGUUCAGGCCAGCAUCGGUUUUGGUGGUGGGAUAAAGGCCUUAGGAAUGUAGCUGCUUUCGGGCAGUGUUAUAGCCUAGGGUGCAAUGCCGCCUACUGGGACCGAGGACCGCGCUUCGGCUAGGAUGCUGGCGUAAUGGUUGUAAGCGACCCGUCUUGAAACACGGACCAAGGAGUCUAACAUCUAUGCGAGUGUUUGGGUGUCAAACCCAUACGCGUAAUGAAAGUGAACGGAGGUCAGAACCCUUAAGGGUGCAUGAUCGACCGGUCCUGAAGUCUUCGGAUGGAUCUGAGUAAGAGCAUAGCUGUUGGGACCCGAAAGAUGGUGAACUAUGCCUGAAUAGGGUGAAGCCAGAGGAAACUCUGGUGGAGGC
rnacentral:rRNA from 1 species